rnacentral:rRNA from 1 species
GGGUUGUGAGGUUAAGCGACUAAGCGUACACGGUGGAUGCCCUGGCAGUCAGAGGCGAUGAAGGACGUGCUAAUCUGCGAUAAGCGUCGGUGAGGUGAUAUGAACCGUUAUAACCGGCGAUUUCCGAAUGGGGAAACCCAGUGUGUUUCGACACACUAUCAUUAACUGAAUCCAUAGGUUAAUGAGGCGAACCGGGGGAACUGAAACAUCUAAGUACCCCGAGGAAAAGAAAUCAACCGAGAUUCCCCCAGUAGCGGCGAGCGAACGGGGAGGAGCCCAGAGCCUGAAUCAGUGUGUGUGUUAGUGGAAGCGUCUGGAAAGGCGUGCGAUACAGGGUGACAGCCCCGUACACAAAAAUGCACAUAUUGUGAGCUCGAUGAGUAGGGCGGGACACGUGGUAUCCUGUCUGAAUAUGGGGGGACCAUCCUCCAAGGCUAAAUACUCCUGACUGACCGAUAGUGAACCAGUACCGCGAGGGAAAGGCGAAAAGACAACCGGCGAGGGGAGUGACAAAGAACCUGAAACAGGGCACGUACAAGCAGUGGCACCCACUUUAUGGGGAGAAUGCGUCACUUUUGCAUAAUGGGUAAGCGACGUCUAGUAUUCAGAAAGUGUAAGGGAUUAGGGGGGGCGAAGGGAGGACGUGUCU